UACGUAGGGGGGCAAGCGUUGUCCGGAUUUACUGGGCGUAAAGCGCGCGCAGGCGGCAUACCAAGUACGGAGUGAAAUCUCCCCUGCUCAACGGGGGAGGGUGCUUUGUAGACUGGUAAGCUAGAGGACGGUAGAGGGGGGGUAGAAUUGCUGGUGUAGCGGGUGAAAAUGCGCAGAUAUCAGGAGGAACACCGGAUGGCGAAGGCAGUGUUCUGGGCCAGUACUGACGCUGAGGAGCGAAAGCGUGGGGAGCAAACAGGG
rnacentral:rRNA from 1 species